rnacentral:rRNA from 1 species
AGUCGAGCGAAUGAUGAGGAAGCUUGCUUCCUCUGAUUUAGCGGCGGACGGGUGAGUAACACGUGGGCAACCUACCUUAUAGUUUGGGAUAACUCCGGGAAACCGGGGCUAAUACCAAAUAAUCUCUUUUACUUCAUGGUGAAAGACUGAAAGACGGUUUCGGCUGUCCCUAUAGGAUGGGCCCGCGGCGCAUUAACUAGUUGGUGAGGUAACGGCUCACCAAGGCGAAGAUGCGUAGCCCAACUGAGAGGGUGAUCGGCCACACUGGGACUGAAACACGGCCCAAACUCCUACGGGAGGCAGCAGUAGGGAAUCUUCCACAAUGGGCGAAAGCCUGAUGGAACAACGCCGCGUGAGUGAAGAAGGAUUUCGGUUCCUAAAACUCUGUUGUAAGGGAAGAACAAGUACAGUAAUAACUGGCUGUACCUUGGCGGUACCUUAUUAAAAAGCCACGGCUAACUACGUGCCAGCCGCCGCGGUAAUACGUAGGUGGCAAGCGUUGUCCGGAAUUAUUGGGCGUAAAGCGCGCGCAGGUGGUUUCUUAAGUCUGAUGUGAAAGCCCACGGCUCAACCGUGGAGGGUCAUUGGAAACUGGGGAACUUGAGUGC